CCUCAAUGGCAGAAGACUUGCUGGAGCACUUUAAGGAGGGCACCAAGGAACUUAAUUUAAGGAACAUGCUUUCUGUGUCAAUGGAUGGACCCACAGUAAAUUGGAAAGUCAUGGAUCUCCUACAACUGGAACAUGCAAUAAAUUUCUGAUCCUGA